rnacentral:rRNA from 1 species
GUUAUAGGGACAAGUAAAUAAGUGCACAUGGUGAAUGCCUUGGCGAUUACAGGCGAUGAAGGACGUAGUAGCUUGCGAUAAGCUGCGGUGAGCUGGGCAGACUUGCUUUGAUCCGCAGAUUUCCGAAUGGGAAAACCCAUCUUUAUUUAUAAAGAUAUUACAUAUUGAAUAUAUAAAUAUGUAAAGCUAACGUAGCGAACUAAAACAUUUAAGUAGCUAUAGGAAAAGAAAUCAACAGAGAUUCCCAAAGUAGUGGCGAGCGAAAUGGGAGAAGCUUGCAAAAUUUAAUAUUAUUAAUAGUAGAAAGCUAUGGAAAGAGCUGCCAUAGAAGGUGAUAGCCCAUUAUAUUAAAUUUAUAAUAUGGAACUAAGUUUGCAAAAAAGUAAGACGAGACACGUGUAAUCUUGUCUGAAUAAGGGGGGACCAUCCUCCAAAGCUAAAUACUCGUAAUCGACCGAUAGUGAAUUAGUACCGUGAGGGAAAGGUGAAAAGAACCCCGGGAGGGGAGUGAAAUAGAUUCUGAAACCAUGUGCAUACAAACAGUAGGAGCAGAUUUAUUCUGUGACUGCGUACCUUUUGUAUAAUGGGUCAGCGACUUAUAUUCAGUGGCAAGCUUAACCGAAAAUAGGGGAGGCGCAGAGAAAUCGAGUCCGAACAGGGCGAAUUAGUCUCUGGAUAUAGACCCGAAACCAAGUGAUCUACUUAUGGCCAGAUUGAAGGUGCGGUAACACGUACUGGAGGAUCGAACCCACUAAUGUUGAAAAAUUAGGGGAUGAGCUGUGAGUAGGGGUGAAAGGCCAAACAAACUUGGAAAUAGCUGGUUCUCUCCGAAAACUAUUUAGGUAGUGCCUUAAGUAUUACCAUUGGGGGUAGAGCACUGUUAUGGCUAGGGGGUUAUCAUGACUUACUAAACCAUUGCAAACUACGAAUACCAAUGAGUAUUAGCUUAGGAGACAGACGCCGGGUGCUAACGUCCGACGUCAAGAGGGAAACAACCCAGACCGCCAGCUAAGGUCCCUAAGAUUGGCUAAGUGGAAAACGAAGUGGGAAGGCUAAGACAGUCAGGAAGUUGGCUUAGAAGCAGCCAUCUUUUAAAGAAAGCGUAAUAGCUCACUGAUCAAGUCGUCCUGCGCGGAAAAUGUAACGGGGCUAAGCCAAUCACCGAAGCUGCGGAUAUCAAUUUAGUUGAUAUGGUAGGAGAGCGUUCUGUAAAUCUGCGAAGGUAUUUUGUAAAAAAUACUGGAGAUAUCAGAAGUGCGAAUGCUGACAUGAGUAACGAUAAUGAAGGUGAAAAACCUUCACGCCGUAAGCCUAAGGUUUCCUGUUCAACGUUAAUCGGAGCAGGGUUAGUCGGCCCCUAAGGUGAGGCAGAAAUGCGUAGUCGAUGGGAAUAAGGUUAAUAUUCCUUUACCUAUUUUAGGUGCGAAGGGGGGACGAAUUAUUAAAGAUUGUCCAGGUGUUGGAAGUCCUGGUAUCUAUAUUGUAGAAGGUUAUUAGGAAAAUCCGGUAACAUAAUUCAAGGGUAUGGAUCAAGUGAUAUUUUUUCAUAAAGCAAUCGGAAGUAGUUCCAAGAAAAGCCUCUAAGCUUAAGUCUAAAAAGACCGUACUAUAAACCGACACAGGUGGGCGAGAUGAAUAUUCUAAGGCGCUUGAGAGAACUCGAGAGAAGGAACUCGGCAAAUUUGUACCGUAACUUCGGAAUAAGGUACACCUUAUUAUUUGACUAGUUUAACACUAGAAGGAUGAAAAGGUUGCAAUAAAAUGGUGGCUGCGACUGUUUAAUAAAAACACAGCACUAUGCAAACAUGAAAAUGGACGUAUAUGGUGUGACUCCUGCCCGGUGCUGGAAGAUUAAAUGAUGGAGUGCAAGCUCUUGAUUGAAGUCCCAGUAAACGGCGGCCGUAACUAUAACGGUCCUAAGGUAGCGAAAUUCCUUGUCGGGUAAGUUCCGACCUGCACGAAUGGAGUAACGAUGGCCACACUGUCUCCUCUCGAGACUCAGUGAAAUUGAAAUGUUUGUGAUGAUGCAAACUACCCGCGGCUAGACGGAAAGACCCCAUGAACCUUUACUGUAACUUUAUAUUGAAUUUUGAAUAAAACUGUGUAGGAUAGGUGGGAGACUAUGAAGUAUAAGCGCAAGCUUAUAUGGAGUCAUCCUUGAAAUACCACCCUGGUUUGUUUGAAAUUCUAACCUUAAACCGUUAUCCGGUUUGGGGACAAUGUAUGGUGGGCAGUUUGACUGGGGCGGUCUCCUCCUAAAGAGUAACGGAGGAGUUCUAAGGUACGCUAAGUACGGUCGGAAAUCGUACUAAUAGUGCAAUGGCAUAAGCGUGCUUAACUGCGAGACUGACAAGUCGAGCAGAUACGAAAGUAGGACAUAGUGAUCCGAUAGUUCUGUAUGGAAGGGCUAUCGCUCAACGAAUAAAAGGUACUCUGGGGAUAACAGGCUGAUUCCUCCCAAGAGUUCAUAUCGACGGAGGAGUUUGGCACCUCGAUGUCGGCUCAUCACAUCCUGGGGCUGUAGUAGGUCCCAAGGGUAUGGCUGUUCGCCAUUUAAAGUGGUACGUGAGCUGGGUUUAAAACGUCGUGAGACAGUUUGGUCCCUAUCUGCCGUGGGCGAUGGAAAUUUGAAAGGAGCUGCUCCUAGUACGAGAGGACCGGAGUGGACGAACCUCUGGUGCAUCGGUUGUCACGCCAGUGGCAUAGCCGAGUAGCUAAGUUCGGAAGAGAUAACCGCUGAAAGCAUCUAAGCGGGAAGCUUGCCUUAAGAUAAGAUUUCCCGGGAUUUAAAUUCCCCUGAAGGGUCGUUCAAGACUAGAACGUUGAUAGGUCAGAUGUGGAAGUACAGUAAUGUAUUGAGCUAACUGAUACUAAUUGCCCGUGAGACUUGUCCCUAUAACAUUAG